UUGACGGGGCCCGCACAAGCGGUGGAUUAUGUGGAUUAAUUCGAUGCAACGCGAAAAACCUUACCUACCCUUGACAUGCUAGGAACUUGCCAGAGAUGGCUUGGUGCCCGAAAGGGAACCUAGACACAGGUGCUGCAUGGCUGUCGUCAGCUCGUGUCGUGAGAUGUUGGGUUAAGUCCCGCAACGAGCGCAACCCUUGUCAUUAAUUGCCAUCAUUCAGUUGGGCACUUUAAUGAGACUGCCGGUGACAAACCGGAGGAAGGUGGGGGUGACGUCAAGUCCUCAUGGCCCUUAUGGGUAGGGCUUCACACGUAAUACAAUGGUCGGUACAGAGGGUUGCCAACCCGCGAGGGGGAGCCAAUCCCAGAAAACCGAUCGUAGUCCGGAUUGCAGUCUGCAACUCGACUGCAUGAAGCCGGAGUUGCUAGUAACCGCAGGUCAGCAAUACUGCGGUGAAUACGUUCCCGGGUCUU
rnacentral:rRNA from 1 species